GAGGAAAGCGGGCGGCGUGCCUAAUACAUGCAAGUCGAGCGAACAGACGAGGAGCUUGCUCCUCUGACGUUAGCGGCGGACGGGUGAGUAACACGUGGAUAACCUACCUAUAAGACUGGGAUAACUUCGGGAAACCGGAGCUAAUACCGCAUAAUAUAUUGAACCGCAUGGUUCAAUAGUGAAAGACGGUUUUGCUGUCACUUAUAGAUGGAUCCGCGCCGCAUUAGCUAGUUGGUAAGGUAACGGCUUACCAAGGCGACGAUGCGUAGCCGACCUGAGAGGGUGAUCGGCCACACUGGAACUGAGACACGGUCCAGACUCCUACGGGAGGCAGCAGUAGGGAAUCUUCUGCAAUGGGCGAAAGCCUGACGGAGCAACGCCGCGUGAGUGAUGAAGGUCUUCGGAUCGUAAAACUCUGUUAUUAGGGAAGAACAAAUGUGUAAGUAACUAUGCACGUCUUGACGGUACCUAAUCAGAAAGCCACGGCUAACUACGUG
rnacentral:rRNA from 1 species